UCGGCCAUUAAUAAAUUAGUGGCAGACGGGUGAGUAUUCUAUAGGAAAUCUACCUAGUAGUAUGGGAUAGCCACUAGAAAUGGUGGGUAAUACUGUAUAAUCCCUGCGGGGGAAAGAUUUAUCGCUAUUAGAUGAA
rnacentral:rRNA from 1 species